rnacentral:rRNA from 1 species
UACGGAGGGUGCAAGUGUUAUCCGGAAUCACUGGGCGUAAAGCGUCUGUAGGUGGUUUAAAAAGUCCACUGUGAAAGGUUGAAGCUUAACUUCAAAAAUGCCGUGGAAACUUUUAAACUUGAGUAUGAUAGGGGUAGAGGGAAUUUCCAGUGGAGCGGUGAAAUGCGUAGAUAUUGGAAAGAACACCGAUGGCGAAGGCGCUCUACUGGGCCAUUACUGACACUGAGAGACGAAAGCUAGGGGAGCAAAUGGG